rnacentral:misc_RNA from 1 species
AAGUCGUAACAAGGUUUCCGUAGGUGAACCUGCGGAAGGAUCAUUAUCGUUGGGCUCCUGCCCAUUCGAGAUAACACCCUUGCCUUUUUGAGUACCUUUUCGUUUCCUCGGCAGGCACGCCUGCCAACGGGGACCCUUCAAAACGCUUUGUAAUACCUGUCAUUGUCUGAUAUAACAAGCAAAAAUCAAAACUUUCAACAACGGAUCUCUUGGUUCUG